GUGUGUUACGGUUAUGUCGAUGGAUACCGGGAAAGUUCUUGAAGUUGAGACCCUGAGUCACUGACUACAUUUUGCAAAAGAGGCAAUCAGUGAACUUUUUCCAGUGAACUACUGGAUAUUACUCCUGGCAAGUAUACAGAAGUGGCUUGUCAACUUGAAGACAAGUUGAGAGUUUCGCAUGCAGAACACAAAUCCACGCCCGAAGUUAAAAAGAGGCGUAAAGUGAUGAGAGGACUGAAAAAAACAAAAGUGUGACAAAAACAAACAGGGGGAGGGAGUAAAGUAUGGUGCUGGAGAGUUCUAUUGACUUUUAGGGACAUGAAGUGUUUUUGGUAGCCAAUUACAUAGUAUGAAAAGUUUAAACUGUAUUUUCUCCGAUAAACAAUUUUCGCAAGGUUUGUAAUCUGCCAACAAUGAUAUCUCACAAACAAUUUAACAGAUUUGGCUAAAAUUUUCAGAGGAUGUUUACUUCAUCAAAAGCUAUGCAAUGAACUAGAAUGAAGUCAUUAGGUCAAAUACUUUUUGUGCUAUAAGCAAAAAUUCAUGCUGAUCAUGAUUAAAUUUCAGGCACACAUAUUGUUUCAUUCAGAACUUAGAAACUAUUUAUCUGAUUUAAAAUCUUUUAGUUCAUUGCAUGGGUCUAGUAGUGCUUAAUAUUUUCCCAAAGUUUCGUAGACAAAUCUUAAAUUGCUUUCGAGUUAUCAUCGUUGGCGCAAUGGUCCGCUGCAAGGCGUGUCGAGCUGUUAUCUUGGUAACCAUGGCAACAGCAUAUGUCAAACUCACAUAAAUGUAAAUACUUUUCUGUGGGCUUUCAUAAUAUACCAUUUAAACUUUAUUUCUAGUUUUAAAUAUAAAAAAAAAAUUUUGAGGGUCAUUCCACC
rnacentral:lncRNA from 1 species